rnacentral:rRNA from 1 species
UACGAGGGGGGCAAGCGUUGUUCGGAAUUAUUGGGCGUAAAGGGCGCGUAGGCGGCCCUCUUAGUCGCGUGUGAAAGCCCCGGGCUCAACCUGGGAACGGCGCGCGAAACGGGAGGGCUGGAGUUCGGGAGAGGAGAGUGGAAUUCCCAGUGUAGAGGUGAAAUUCGUAGAUAUUGGGAAGAACACCGGUGGCGAAGGCGGCUCACUGGCUCGUAUCUGACACUCAAGCGCGACAGCGUGGGGAGCAAACAGG